GACGAACGCUGGCGGCGUGCUUAACACAUGCAAGUCGAACGCAGUGGCGAACGGGUGAGUAACGCUUAAUCAACCUGCCCUUCACUGGGGGACAACAGUUGGAAAUGACUGCUAAUACCGCAUACUGUAGGAUGGGCUUGCGUGUGAUUGGCUGAUUGGAGGGGUAAAGGCCCACCAAGGCGAGGAUCAGUAAGCGGUCUGAAGGGAUGAAGGGGCACAUUGGGACUGGGACACGGGCCCGACUCCUUCCGGAGGCCGCAGUGGGGAAUCUUCCGCAAAUGAGGGAAGUCUGACGGGGCAACGCCGCGUUGAGGAUGACGGCCUUCGGGUUGUAAAGCUCUGUUAAUCGGGACGCGGUACCGGAAUAGAAAGCCACGGCUAACUACGUGCCAGCAGCCGCGGUAAUUC
rnacentral:rRNA from 1 species